rnacentral:rRNA from 1 species
UAUCUCUGUAGAGUCUGCAUAUCAAUAAGCGGAGGAAAAGAAACUAACUAGGAUUCCCUCAGUAACGGCGAGUGAAGCGGGAAGAGCUCAAAUUUGAAAUCUUCAAGGUUCUACCUUGACGAAUUGUAGUUUAAAGAAGUGUUUUCUGUUGGAGUUUUGGUAAAAGUUCUUUGGAAUAGGACAUCAUAGAGGGUGAGAAUCCCGUAUUUGACCAUUACUUUCCAGCGUUGUGAUACACUUUCAAAGAGUCGGAUUGUUUGGGAAUGCAGUCCAAAAUGGGUGGUAAAUUUCAUCUAAAGCUAAAUAUUGGCGAGAGACCGAUAGCGAACAAGUACCGUGAGGGAAAGAUGAAAAGAACUUUGAAAAGAGAGUUAAACAGUACGUGAAAUUGUCAAAAGGGAAGCGUUUGACACCAGUGUUGUUUUCUCGAAAAUCAAUUAAAAAAAGUUGGAUUUUGUAUUGUUAAGACCUUAUCAGCUUACUGUACUCUUUUCUUGCUUUUUUUAAUGCACUUUUCGUUUAACAAGUCAACAUCAAUUUCUUUUGUUGUAAAAGAGUCAUUGGAAGGUGGCUUUCACUUCGGUGAAAGUGUUUAUAGCCUUUGGCUUCUGCAAUCGGAGAGAUUGAGGUCUGCAGCGUAGAUCCUUCGGGGCUAGAUACGUAGAUGCUAAGUUAUAGUUUUUUAUAGACAACUUGUUGACUAUAAUUAAUCAUGUAGCUUACUCGUUUGCGCUAUUUUACCUACGCUUAGGAUGUUGACGAUCAGCUGAGCGCG